rnacentral:rRNA from 1 species
GCUAAGUACGGGCGAGCGAUCGGGUGAAGAGGUAGGUGGGAAGCGUUGUCCGGAUUUAGUGGGCGUAAAGAGCGGGUAGGCGGCCAAACAGGUCAGCUGUGAAAACUCGAGGCUCAACCUCGAGACGUCGGUUGAAACCGUUGGGCUAGAGUCCGGAAGAGGAGAGUGGAAUUCCCGGUGUAGCGGUGAAAUGCGCAGAUAUCGGGAAGAACACCCGUGGCGAAGGCGGCUCUCUGGGACGGUACUGACGCUGAGACGCGAAAGCGUGGGGAGCGAACAGGAUUAGAUACCCUGUUAGUC